AACGAACGCUGGCGGCAGGCCUAACACAUGCAAGUCGAACGAUGUAGCAAUACAUAGUGGCGCACGGGUGUGUAAUGCAUGGGAACGUACCUUUUAGUGGGGGAUAACUCCGGGAAACUGGAGCUAAUACCGCAUACGCCCUUCGGGGGAAAGAUUUAUCGCUAAAAGAUCGGCCCAUGUGAGAUUAGGUAGUUGGUGGGGUAAUGGCCUACCAAGCCUACGAUCUCUAGCUUGUCUCAGAGGAUGAUCAGCCACACUGGAACUGAGACACGGUCCAGACUCCUACGGGAGGCAGCAGUGGGGAAUAUUGGACAAUGGGCGCAAGCCUGAUCCAGCCAUGCCGCGUGAGUGAUGAAGGCUCUAGGGUUGUAAAGCUCUUUCGCCGAUGAAGAUAAUGACGGUAGUCGGAGAGGAAGCCCCGGCUAACUUCGUGCCAGCCGCCGCUGUAA
rnacentral:rRNA from 1 species